rnacentral:misc_RNA from 1 species
AAUACGCGCUCAAUUAUAACUUAGAGCGUUUUCUAACGGCUAACCGGAUUCCACUUAGCCGGAAAACGCUCCGGGCGCGUGGUCUGCUGUCCGGAGCUGAGACGAAAAUCGACCUCAAAGACCGGGAGCGGGCAUUCCUCCAAUGACGGCGGGGACUAUGCCCUCGGCCGGCCCGCUCGGACGGCCUCGACAAUGUCGAUGGCAGCCCGGACGCCGCUCUCUAUAUCCAACUGAGAGUUAUCCAGCAAGUAUGCAUCCGGAGCUGCUUU